GGGUGCGAUCAUACCAGCACUAAUGCACCGGAUCCAAUCAGAACUCCGCAGUUAAGAGUGCUUGGGCGAGAGUAGUGCUAGGAUGGGUGACCUCCUGGAAGUCCUCGUGUUGCACCCU
rnacentral:rRNA from 1 species